rnacentral:rRNA from 1 species
UAUAUCGGACAAUGGGCGAAAGCCUGAUCCAGCCAUGCCGCGUGUGUGAAGAAUGUCUUCGGAUUGUAAAGCACUUUAAGUUGGUAGGAAGGGCAGUAAGUUAAUACCUUGCUGUUUUGACGUUACCGUCACAAAAAGCACCGUCUAACUUCGUGCCAUCAGCCGCGGUAAUACGAACGGUGCAAGCGUUAAUCGGAAUUACCGGGCGUAAAGGGGGAGUAGGUGGUUCGUUAAGUUGGAAGUGAAAGCCCCGGGCUUAACCUGGGAAUUGCUUUCAAAACUGACGAGCUAGAGUACGGUAGAGGGUAGUGGAAUUUCCUGUGUAGCGGUGAAAUGCGUAGAUAUAGGAAGGAACAUCAGUGGCGAAGGCGACUACCUGGACUGAUACUGACACUGAGGUGCGAAAGCGUGGGGAGCAAACAG